UACGUAGGCAGCGAGCGUUGUUCGGAGUUACUGGGCGUAAAGAGUGCGUAGGCGGUUUUCCAAGUUUGGUGUGAAAUCUCCCGCUUAACUGGGAGGGUGCGCCGAAAACUGGGAGGCUAGAGUAUGGGAGAGGUAAGCGGAAUUCCUGGUGUAGCGGUGAAAUGCGUAGAUAUCAGGAGGAACACCUGCGGUGUAGACGGCUUACUGGACCAUAACUGACGCUGAGGCACGAAAGCGUGGGUAGCAAACAGG
rnacentral:rRNA from 1 species